GACGAACGCUGGCGGCGUGCUUAACACAUGCAAGUCGAACGGAAAGGCCCUGCUUUUGUGGGGUGCUCGAGUGGCGAACGGGUGAGUAACACGCGAGUAAACCGUCCUUGACUUUGGGAUAACUUCAGGAAACUGGGGCUAAUACCGGAUAGGAGCUCCUGCUGCAUGGUGGGGGUUGGAAAGUUUCGGCGGUGGGGGAUGGAAUCGCGGCUUAUCAGCUUGUUGGUGGGGUAGGGGCUUACCAAGGCUUUGGAGGGUAGCCGGCCUGAGAGGGUGACCAGCCACAAUGGGACUGAGCGACGGCCCAGACUCCAACGGGAGGCAGCAGUGGGGAAUAUUGCACAAUGGGCCGAAGCCUGUUGCAGCAACGCCGCGUGCGGGAUGACGUCCUUCUGGUUGUAAACCGCUUUCGCCUGUGACGAAGCGUGAGUGACGGUAAUGGGUAAAAAAGCACCGGCUAACUACGUG
rnacentral:rRNA from 1 species